rnacentral:rRNA from 1 species
GGUGAUCUAGCCAUGGGCAGGUUGAAGGUUGGGUAACACUAACUGGAGGACCGAACCGACUAAUGUUGAAAAAUUAGCGGAUGACUUGUGGCUGGGGGGGAAAGGCCAAUCAAACCGGGAGAUAGCUGGUUCUCCCCGAAAGCUAUUUAGGUAGCGCCUCGUGAAUUCAUCUCCGGGGGUAGAGCACUGUUUCGGCAAGGGGGUCAUCCCGACUUACCAACCCGAUGCAAACUGCGAAUACCGGAGAAUGUUAUCACGGGAGACACACGGCGGGUGCUAACGUCCGUCGUGAAGAGGGAAACAACCCAGACCGCCAGCUAAGGUCCCAAAGUCAUGGUUAAGUGGGAAACGAUGUGGGAAGGCCCAGACAGCCAGGAUGUUGGCUUAGAAGCAGCCAUCAUUUAAAGAAAGCGUAAUAGCUCACUGGUCGAGUCGGCCUGCGCGGAAGAUGUAACGGGGCUAAACCAUGCACCGAAGCUGCGGCAGCGACGCUUAUGCGUUGUUGGGUAGGGGAGCGUUCUGUAAGCCUGUGAAGGUGUGCUGUGAGGCAUGCUGGAGGUAUCAGAAGUGCGAAUGCUGACAUAAGUAACGAUAAAGCGGGUGAAAAGCCCGCUCGCCGGAAGACCAAGGGUUCCUGUCCAACGUUAAUCGGGGCAGGGUGAGUCGACCCCUAAGGCGAGGCCGAAAGGCGUAGUCGAUGGGAAACAGGUUAAUAUUCCUGUACUUGGUGUUACUGCGAAGGGGGGACGGAGAAGGCUAUGUUGGCCGGGCGACGGUUGUCCCGGUUUAAGCGUGUAGGCUGGUUUUCCAGGCAAAUCCGGAAAAUCAAGGCUGAGGCGUGAUGACGAGGCACUACGGUGCUGAAGCAACAAAUGCCCUGCUUCCAGGAAAAGCCUCUAAGCAUCAGGUAACAUCAAAUCGUACCCCAAACCGACACAGGUGGUCAGGUAGAGAAUACCAAGGCGCUUGAGAGAACUCGGGUGAAGGAACUAGGCAAAAUGGUGCCGUAACUUCGGGAGAAGGCACGCUGAUAUGUAGGUGAAGUCCCUCGCGGAUGGAGCUGAAAUCAGUCGAAGAUACCAGCUGGCUGCAACUGUUUAUUAAAAACACAGCACUGUGCAAACACGAAAGUGGACGUAUACGGUGUGACGCCUGCCCGGUGCCGGAAGGUUAAUUGAUGGGGUUAGCGCAAGCGAAGCUCUUGAUCGAAGCCCCGGUAAACGGCGGCCGUAACUAUAACGGUCCUAAGGUAGCGAAAUUCCUUGUCGGGUAAGUUCCGACCUGCACGAAUGGCGUAAUGAUGGCCAGGCUGUCUCCACCCGAGACUCAGUGAAAUUGAACUCGCUGUGAAGAUGCAGUGUACCCGCGGCAAGACGGAAAGACCCCGUGAACCUUUACUAUAGCUUGACACUGAACAUUGAGCCUUGAUGUGUAGGAUAGGUGGGAGGCUUUGAAGUGUGGACGCCAGUCUGCAUGGAGCCGACCUUGAAAUACCACCCUUUAAUGUUUGAUGUUCUAACGUUGACCCGUAAUCCGGGUUGCGGACAGUGUCUGGUGGGUAGUUUGACUGGGGCGGUCUCCUCCUAAAGAGUAACGGAGGAGCACGAAGGUUGGCUAAUCCUGGUCGGACAUCAGGAGGUUAGUGCAAUGGCAUAAGCCAGCUUGACUGCGAGCGUGACGGCGCGAGCAGGUGCGAAAGCAGGUCAUAGUGAUCCGGUGGUUCUGAAUGGAAGGGCCAUCGCUCAACGGAUAAAAGGUACUCCGGGGAUAACAGGCUGAUACCGCCCAAGAGUUCAUAUCGACGGCGGUGUUUGGCACCUCGAUGUCGGCUCAUCACAUCCUGGGGCUGAAGUAGGUCCCAAGGGUAUGGCUGUUCGCCAUUUAAAGUGGUACGCGAGCUGGGUUUAGAACGUCGUGAGACAGUUCGGUCCCUAUCUGCCGUGGGCGCUGGAGAACUGAGGGGGGCUGCUCCUAGUACGAGAGGACCGGAGUGGACGCAUCACUGGUGUUCGGGUUGUCAUGCCAAUGGCACUGCCCGGUAGCUAAAUGCGGAAGAGAUAAGUGCUGAAAGCAUCUAAGCACGAAACUUGCCCCGAGAUGAGUUCUCCCUGACUCCUUGAGAGUCCUGAAGGAACGUUGAAGACGACGACGUUGAUAGGCCGGGUGUGUAAGCGCAGCGAUGCGUUGAGCUAACCGGUACUAAUGAACCGUGAGGCUUAACCU